UCGCCUGUUUAUCAAAAACAUAGCUAUUAGAUAUAAUUAAUAGUGUUUUCUGCUCAAUGAAUAUUAAAUAGCCGCAGUACCCUGACUGUGCAAAGGUAGCAUAAUCAGUUGGCUUAUAAUUGAAGUCUUGUAUGAAUGAAUAAAUGGGGAGGAACUGUCUCAUCAAUAUUAAAUGAAAUUACUAAGCAAGUGCAAAUUCUUGUAAUAAAAUAAUAGACGAGAAGACCCUAGAAAUUUUGAGUAUAUGUUAAUUGGUUUUUGUUGGGGCAACAAUGUAACAAAAAAACUUACAUUAUGAACAAGAAAUUUUUUUGAAUGAAUAAAUUACUCUAGGGAUAACAGCGUAAUGCUUGAGCGAUUGCGACCUCGAUGUUGGACUAGGAAGCAAAUGC
rnacentral:rRNA from 1 species